rnacentral:tRNA from 1 species
UUAGCUCAGUUGGUUAGAGCAUCUGACUGUUAAUCAGAGGGUCGCUGGUUCAAGUCCAGCA